GACUCAUCAGUUUGCAGUGUGGUAUAAAGCGGUAUAUAUGUUUGUAUGUAUAUAAGUACUUAUAUAUCAAGCCAUAUGCUUUGUCAUUAGCUUUUGUCUAAUCUUGUGGCGCCUCAACUAAACUGAACUGAAAUGAAUGGCAAAUGCGCAUUAUGAGUACUCGUAUGAAUGCGAAUUGCGUUUUGGGCAAAAAUGAAUUAGAUGAAGGAGCGAGAAACGCAUUUAGCUGAUUUCAUAAUCUAUACAAAUGAUGCGAGUCGAUAUACAACACGACACUGAGACGAGACGAGACGAGACGAGACGAGGAGAAAAGGGACGAGACGAGUUGCGAACGAGACGAGCAUCCAGCUGACCCA